UCAGACGCACCAAGAUGUUCGUCCAGACUCAGCUCCUCUGUCUACUGGUGCUGUGGAUUCCGGACUCUUAUGGGCAGGUCGCUAUGACUCAGUCUCCAGAAUCCCUCUCAGUGUCUCCAGGAGAAAAAGUCACCAUCAGACGUACCAAGAUGUUCUCCCAGACUCAGCUGCUCUGGCUACUGGUGCUGUGGAUUCCAGGCUCCUAUGGGCAGGUCACUAUGACUCAGUCUCCAGAAUCCCUCUCAGUGUUUCCGGGAGAAAAAGUCACCAUCAGAUGUACAGCCAGUUCUAGCCUUAGCAGCUACACUGUAUCCUGGUACCAACAGAAACCCAGACAAGCUCCUAAACUUCUUAUCUAUCAAGACUCUGACCGUCCCUAUGGGGUCCCAGCCCAUUUCAGUGGCAGUCGGUCAGGCACCAUUUACACUCUCUCAAUUAGCAGUGUUGAAGCCAAUGAAGCAGCAGAUUAUUAUUGUCUGCAGACUCAGCACUCACCUCUCACAGUGUUACAGACCAAUACAAAAACCUCCCCACUCUGGGAGUCUGAAUGCAGAUUUCUGUGA